rnacentral:rRNA from 1 species
UACAGAGGGUGCGAGCGUUGUCCGGAAUCACUGGGCGUAAAGGGCGCGUAGGUGGUGGCUUAAGCGUGCGGUGAAAGCUCGGAGCUCAACUCCGAGUCGGCCGUGCGAACUGGGCUCACUGGAGCAUAGUAGAGGCAGGUGGAAUUCCGGGUGUAGCGGUGGAAUGCGUAGAGAUCCGGAAGAACACCGGUGGCGAAGGCGGCCUGCUGGGGCUAUGGCUGAC